AAAAUGCGAUACGUAAUGCGAAUUGCAGAAUUCAGUGAAUCAUCAAAUCUUUGAACGCAAAUUGCGCUCUCGGGAUAGGCCUGGGAGCACGCCUCUUUGAGUAUCGAUUCCAACACAACUCGAAAGCGUGCUUUUUGAAUUCGUUCUUGAAGCGCGCUUCGGAUACUGAGCCUUCUCGUCCUCGGACGAGAUGCUUUAAAACUAGCGAGUGAGCACGAGGCCUAAGCUGGAAGACAAGCAUUGUCUCCGGUGACGAGGAUAACUUCACAUUCAGUUGUGAACCCUUCCAUCGUGACUGUCGAGCAGUGUCCUUUUGGCUUGUACCUCAAUGUGUUCACGGACAUCUCUGAAAUGCGUGCAAACGCCAACAGAGAACGCUUUUGAACUAGAUCUCAAAUGA
rnacentral:misc_RNA from 1 species